AACGAACGCUGGCGGCAUGCCUAACACAUGCAAGUCGAACGAGACCUUCGGGUCUAGUGGCGCACGGGUGCGUAACGCGUGGGAAUCUGCCCUUGGGUUCGGAAUAACAGUUAGAAAUGACUGCUAAUACCGGAUAAUGUCUUCGGACCAAAGAUUUAUCGCCCAGGGAUGAGCCCGCGUAGGAUUAGCUAGUUGGUGAGGUAAAGGCUCACCAAGGCGACGAUCCUUAGCUGGUCUGAGAGGAUGAUCAGCCACACUGGGACUGAGACACGGCCCAGACUCCUACGGGAGGCAGCAGUGGGGAAUAUUGGACAAUGGGCGAAAGCCUGAUCCAGCAAUGCCGCGUGAGUGAUGAAGGCCUUAGGGUUGUAAAGCUCUUUUACCCGGGAUGAUAAUGACAGUACCGGGAGAAUAAGCCCCGGCUAACUCCGUGCCAGCAGCCG
rnacentral:rRNA from 1 species